rnacentral:lncRNA from 1 species
CUGCAACUGUCCCAUCUGUCUGACCUAACAUAGUGGGACUGAGAUGAAAGCAACUGAACGUACAGAUGCCGCUUCCAGACCAGAACCACCUGAGCACAGGAGGAAACAAACACAUGGACUGGCAAGGGAGGAGAAUGGGUUUCCUGGCUGGGCACUGGGCAAGUGGACAGCUGCGGCCUGCCCCUCUGACUUGGUGAUCAUCUGCCCUGCACUAGCCAGAGGAACCUCGACCUCCCAGGAAUUCUUCUGCUUGCCUGUAAGAGAGGAGGACUAGGUUUGUGUUCACAAACCAGGCUGGGGCCUCCUUUGGAUGGGGAGGCAGUGGGUCUGAGGUGGGACCUGCUCCCAGACAUGUCGUACUGAUGAUACUGGUGCAGGAGGGAUGGUGUCUGCUGGCGCCUCUGGUUUUAAGUAUUAAUAGCUAUAAUUUUACAGGGGCUGAAGGGAAAAAGAUAAAAGAAUGCCAAAGAAAUUAUGUCUAUAAUUCUCAACAUCUAUUGUGAAUAUACACUAGUUUUUUAAUGAACUGCAGUUACUCUGAAUACCAAAAAGCACUAAAAAUACUUUAAAUUAAAACUUGUUAUCACAUCCACACA